CAGUCGCCACGGUAAUACGGAGGGAGCUAGCGUUGUUCGGAAUUACUGGGCGUAAAGCGCGCGUAGGCGGUUACUCAAGUCAGAGGUGAAAGCCCGGGGCUCAACCCCGGAACUGCCUUUGAAACUAGGUGACUAGAAUCUUGGAGAGGUCAGUGGAAUUCCGAGUGUAGAGGUGAAAUUCGUAGAUAUUCGGAAGAACACCAGUGGCGAAGGCGACUGACUGGACAAGUAUUGACGCUGAGGUGCGAAAGCGUGGGGAGCAAACAGGAUUAGAUACCCCCGUAGUCCUGUCUCUUAUACA
rnacentral:rRNA from 1 species